UUGGAGUGGGACGAACUAGCGCAGAAUCCAUUUCUUGCCUUUUACCAGAGAUGGCCGUGGUUACGCCCAAAAUACUCCGUUUAUUACAAUCUUUGGAAUUACAAUUUGAUGAU
rnacentral:snRNA from 1 species